rnacentral:SRP_RNA from 1 species
GCCAGGUGCAGUGGUGCAUGCCUGCAGUCCCAGCUACUUGGGAGGCUAAUGUGGGAGGAUUGUCUGAGCCCAGGAGUUCUGGGCUGUAGUGUGCUAUGCCGAUCAGGUGUCUGCACUAAUUUUGGCAUCAAUAUGGUGACCUCCUGGGAGCAGGGGACCACCAGGUUGCCUAAGGAGGGGAGAACCGGCCUAGGUCGGAAAUGGAGCAGGUCAAAACUCCUGUGCCAAUGAGGAGUGGGAUCAUGCCUGUUAAAAGCCACUGCACCCCAGCCUGGGGCAACAUAGCGAGACCCCAUCUCU